CCUACGAGCGGCAGCAGUGAGGAAUAUUGGUCAAUGGGCGCGAGCCUUAACCAGCCAAGUAGCGUGAAGGAUGACUGCCCUACGGGUUGUAAACUUCUUUUAUAAAGGUAUAAAGUGAGGCACGUGUGCCUUUUUGUAUGUACUUUAUGAAUAAGGAUCGGCUAACUCCGUGCCAGCAGCCGCGGUAAUACGGAGGAUCCGAGCGUUAUCCGGAUUUAUUGGGUUUAAAGGGAGCGUAGAUGGGUUGUUAAGUCAGUUGUGAAAGUUUGCGGCUCAACCGUAAAAUUGCAAUUGAUACUGGCAGUCUUGAGUACAGUUGAGGUAGGCGGAAUUCGUGGUGUAGCGGUGAAAUGCUUAGAUAUCACGAAGAACUCCGAUUGCGAAGGCAGCUUACUAAACUGCCACUGACAUUGAUGCUCGAAAGUGUGGGUAUCAAACAGGAUUAGAUACCCCGUAUC
rnacentral:rRNA from 1 species